ensembl:lncRNA
CACGGAACUUGUGCUGGAGGGGAGGGGAGGGGGCAGGCCCUCCUUUCACACUCAGAUAUGGAGACUGAAAGCACGCCCAGACCUGUGGAGAAGGAGGUUGGCCACUCUUGCAUGUGAGCUGAGGGACAAUGGGCCACAAGCAUCCUCCUACCUGACUGAGAGAAUGAAGGAAUUCCGAGCUGACCAGCAGAGACAGCUGACAAACAAGGCCAGGGCGGCUGGUGUCCGGCCGAGACAGCCUUCUGUUUCCUUGAGUUCACACAGGGGAAGAGGAAGUCUUCAUCAACCGCAGAGCACAUUGAAGCAGAGCCUGAGGAGGGGCCCCAGAAGCCCCAGCUGGGAACCUGUGGCUGUGGCCACGAUGCUCUCUUAAGUCUUCAGGAAACUGCUCACCGUGUGCUCAAAACUUUGACAACACUGGUCACUGGUCACCAGAGGCUUGUCCUUAACAGCACUGAAUAUAUAUCAACUGUCGUUUGUAAGAAGAGAAGCCUCCACCGUGCCUUAGGGAUACACAGCUGACUUGGGAGGACUGAUGUGGAUGUUACAUGAGGCCGUGUUCUCCUCCUUGCUCUCUAAUUAGUCUUUGGUGGGUACCAGACUCAGCAGAAGAGGCUGCAAGGCUUCUGGCCUCACAAACCACCUUGCCCUUGCCUGUCCCAUCGACCCCAUCUUGGAGAACCAUCUUACCGUCAGUCAGUCAUGUUCCCCUGCCUCACGCCAAUGCUACAUUGAGGUCCCACUGCCAAACCAUACCGCUUUUAGCCCUGGAGAUGUCCCAGCUCCUCCCUGAGGUCUCGAUGGAAUGGGGAGUGCCACCCCCUCCCCGCCCCCAGAUUCCUCCCGUGAAAGCUGCGAAGAAGCCGAGGCUGGAGCAGAAUGACUCCGUGGCAUUUACCGUGCCAGCAGCGCCCCUCCAUCAGCUCCGGAGAAGCAGUGUGUGUCUGUGAGCUUCCUGGGGGCAAGAGGGAUAGUGGGGGGCAGAUAGUGAGAGUGCCACCCCCCCCAAGACCUUUAGCCAGGUGCAGUCACGGUGAAAGCAUCCAGUCUUGAAGAGGAAAGAGCGUCCAUCGACAAGAUUUCCACACACCCUCUGAGGGGCAAAGUGACUCUCAGAGGAACAGGAAAAUUAGCUGGGAGCUUGCUCCAGGAGUCCCUUCCUAAUUUCCCCAACUUGGAAGGGGGAAGGGGCUGCUUAAGAAAGGCUUCUUUUCUAAAGAUGGGUUGAAAGUUUGCAAAAUACUGCUGUCUGGUGGUGGUUUAGUCGCUAAGGCGUGUCUGACCCUUGCGAACCAGUGGACUGUACUCCCCCACCCCCACCCACCACGCUCCUCUG